rnacentral:rRNA from 1 species
AUUGAACGAUGGAGGCAGGCCUAACACAUGCAAGUCGAGCGAGCGGCGGGCGGGUGAGUAAGGUGUGGGGACGGCCCGAUAGAGAGGGAUAACUACUGGAAAAGGUAGCUAAUAACGCAUACUACCGGAUUACCCCUAGUGGAUAAGCUAGUGUGUGAGGUAAUGGAUCACCUAGGCGACGAUACCUAGCUGGGCUGAGAGGAUGAUAAGCCACACUGGGACUGAGACACGGCCCAGACUCCUACGGAGGCAGCAGUGGGGAAUAUUGCACAAUGGGUGCAAGCCUGAUGCAGCCAUGCCGCGUGUAUGAAGAAGGCCCUAGGGUUGUAAAGUACUUUCAGUCGGGAGGCGUUACCGACAGAAGAAGCACCGGCUAACUCCGUGCCAGCAGCCGCGGUAAUAC